UACGUAGGGUGCAAGCGUUGUCCGGAAUUAUUGGGCGUAAAGAGCUCGUAGGCGGUGUGUCGCGUCGGCCGUGAAAACCUGCAGCUUAACUGUGGGCGUGCGGUCGAUACGGGCAUCACUGGAGUUCGGCAGGGGAGACUGGAAUUCCUGGUGUAGCGGUGAAAUGCGUAGAUAUUGGGAGGAACACCAGUGGCGAAGGCGGCUCACUGGACCGGAACUGACGCUGAGGCGCGAAAGCGUGGGGAGCAAACGGG
rnacentral:rRNA from 1 species